rnacentral:rRNA from 1 species
AGAGUUUGAUCCUGGCUCAGAUUGAACGCUGGCGGCAUGCCUUACACAUGCAAGUCGAACGGCAGCACGGGUGCUUGCACCUGGUGGCGAGUGGCGAACGGGUGAGUAAUACAUCGGAACGUGUCCUGGAGUGGGGGAUAGCCCGGCGAAAGCCGGAUUAAUACCGCAUACGCUCUGUGGAGGAAAGCGGGGGGAUCUCC